UUACCGAUAUUCCUGAUUUUCAUAUGAAUUUCCCGGAAAACUCUUGAGAAAAAUGAAAACUGACCUCUUUUACGUACCUCCCCAAUUUGAUUUCCUUUCAGUAAAGGUGCUCCACUUAAACACGGGAGCAAGAUUUGUAGUAGAAAAAAUGUGCACAGAUUAAAAAAAAAUAAUAAUAAACAUCUUUGUAAAACCAUAAGCUUCUUCGCUACACUAAAAAUCUAAAAAUAAAUAAUACAUGUCGAAUAUGUUUGUGU